rnacentral:tRNA from 1 species
GCGUACCAUGGUGUAGUGUUAUCACAUCGCCUAACACGCGGAAGGUGCCAUGUUCGAAACCUGGUGGGUACA